rnacentral:rRNA from 1 species
UGGGGAAUCUUGCACAAUGGGGGCAACCCUGAUGCAGCGACGCCGCGUGAGCGAUGAAGCCCUUCGGGGCGUAAAGCUCUUUCGACCGGAACGAUAAUGACGGUACCGGGAGAAGAAGCUGCGGCUAACUACGUGCCAGCAGCCGCGGUAAUACGUAGGCAGCAAGCGUUGUUCGGAGUUACUGGGCGUAAAGCGUGCGCAGGCGGUUUUGUAAGACAGAUGUGAAAUCCCCGGGCUUAACCUGGGAACUGCGUUUGUGACUGCAAGGCUGGAGUACGGCAGAGGGGGGUGGAAUUCCACGUGUAGCAGUGAAAUGCGUAGAGAUGUGGAGGAACACCGAUGGCGAAGGCAGCCCCCUGGGCCUGUACUGACGCUCAUGCACGAAAGCGCGGGGAGCAAACA